AAAGUCGUAACAAGGUCUCCGUAGGUGAACCUGCGGAGGGAUCAUUAGCGAAUGGCCCACUGGGCCUUCAAGCCCCACGUACCUGUGGAAGCUAGCAGUGCUUUGGCGCCCACGCCGGCGCCGCCCCCAUGCGGCCGACCAGUCUGUGUCUGAAUCGAACCUAGAAUUAAAACUUUCAACAAAGGAUCUCUUGGCUCUU
rnacentral:misc_RNA from 1 species